CUCUUUUCCAUGGACAGAGAUCACAGACAGUGUCUCUCGGGGCUCUGUACAGGGGGGUUCCUGACCCCUGCCAGGGUCCCAGACCUGCCAGGGCAGCCAGAGGGAAGCCCUGGAUUCCCACACUGUGGAGCUUCUGUCUUCCUCUGUCUCUCCUUCCUCUCCUUCUAAUGCUCUUCAUAUGGAAUAUUUUUGGGUACCUGAACAACUUAAGUCUUUAAACCUUUCCAGACUAAAUGGGCUGAGUGAAUGAAGUUACUCCUAUGACAAGGGAUUUAAACUGGAUUGGAUUCUUUCAGCCAACCACUGAGAGGACCAGCUUGUUCUCGUGCUUUUCAUGCACUGAUUGUACUCUUGAUUUAUAUCAGUGCUUGAGAUGUGGAAGCUUCUAAACUGAACACAGAAACAAACUCCCUCUGUCAGCCCAUUUUCAUCUUCUACAUCACUUUCAAGAUGUCCAUGGGCAUGUUGGAACGAUUAUCACACUGCUCUCCAGUUCUGGCUGCAGGCUCGGGAGAUUCUUUCUCUGCAUUCCCUGACAAUUCCUGGGAGCCCGUCAUGGUUUCUUAGGCUAGAGCAAUAACAGUGAAAAUCUCACCAAUGGCACAACUGCCCAGCCCACAAGGAAAAGAAAGAACAAGCUAUAAAGUUCUUCAAAUAUUUGUCCCACUUUUCUGCAAGAGUCGAGCUGCACACACGGUGUGGGAAGCCAAGAGAAGCUGCAGCUGGUGGCACAUCUUGUGACAGAAACUGCUCAAAGCUUCCUCAUUCUCCAGCAAAGGUUCUUGGAAAGAGCAAACAGGAUUGUGGAGAAGAUUCUGGGAAAACUGAAAUAGUUUUUAAGAAAUGAAAUGAAAAUGGAAA